UGUGCCCUGAAUCAAGGCCAACAACUUGCUGUAGCUGUUGGUUUCAAACAGUGGCCAAAACUGAAGUCUUCAGAUGGUCUGUUGAUUUUCCCAGAAUUUGAAAAAUGGGAAGAAUCAGUUCAGUUAGGAGAUACAUUU